GAUGAACGCUGGCGGCGUGCCUAAUACAUGCAAGUCGAGCGAACAGACGAGGAGCUUGUUCCUCUGACGUUAGCGGCGGACGGGUGAGUAACACGUGGAUAACCUACCUAUAAGACUGGGAUAACUUCGGGAAACCGGAGCUAAUACCGGAUAAUAUAUUUAACCGCAUGGUUCAAUAGUGAAAGAUGCUUUUGCUGUAACUUAUAGAUGGAUCCGCGUCGCAUUAGCUAGUUGGUAAGGUAACGGCUUACCAAGGCAACGAUGCGUAGCCGACCUGAGAGGGGGAUCGGCCACACGGGAACUAAAACCCGGUCCAGACUCCUACGGGAGGCAGCAGUAGGGAAUCUUCCGCAAUGGGCGAAAGCCUGACGGAGCAACGCCGCGUGAGUGAUGAAGGUCUUCGGAUCGUAAAACUCUGUUAUUAGGGAAGAACAAAUGUGUAAGUAACUAUGCACGUCUUGACGGUACCUAAUCAGAAAGCCACGGCUAACUACGUG
rnacentral:rRNA from 1 species